CCCUUAGAUGUCCUGGGCCGCACGCGCGUUACACUGAUGCAUUCAACGAGCUUAUAACCUUGGCCGAGAGGCCUGGGCAAUCUUGUUAACGUGCAUCGUGAUAGGGAUAGAUUAUUGAAAUUAUUAAUCUUGAACGAGGAAUUCCUAGUAAACGCAGAUCAUCAAUCUGCAUUGAUUACGUCCCUGCCCUUUGUACACACCGCCCGUCGCACCUACCGAUUGGAUGGUCCGGUGAAGCCUCGGGACGGCGGCUCGGUCGCUUGCGUCCGACUGCUGAAACUUGAUUAAACCAUAUCAUUUAGAGGAAGGUGAAGUCGUAACA
rnacentral:rRNA from 1 species